GAUGAACGCUGGCGGCGUGCCUAAUACAUGCAAGUCGAGCGAACGGACGAGAAGCUUGCUUUUCUGACGUUAGCGGCGGACGGGUGAGUAACACGUGGAUAACCUACCUAUAAGACUGGGAUAACUUCGGGAAACCGGAGCUAAUACCGGAUAAUAUUUUGAACCGCAUGGUUCAAUAGUGAAAGACGGUCUUGCUGUCACUUAUAGAUGGAUCCGCGCUGCAUUAGCUAGUUGGUAAGGUAACGGCUUACCAAGGCAACGAUGCGUAGCCGACCUGAGAGGGUGAUCGGCCACACUGGAACUGAGACACGGUCCAGACUCCUACGGGAGGCAGCAGUAGGGAAUCGUCCGCAAUGGGCGAAAGCCUGACGGAGCAACGCCGCGUGAGUGAUGAAGGUCUUCGGAUCGUAAAACUCUGUUAUUAGGGAAGAACAAAUGUGUAAGUAACUGUGCACAUCUUGACGGUACCUAAUCAGAAAGCCACGGCUAACUACGUG
rnacentral:rRNA from 1 species